CCCUUAGAUGUUCUGGGCCGCACGCGCGCUACACUGACGAAUGCAACGAGCUUAUAACCUUGGCCGAAAGGUCUGGGUAAUCUCCAAAUUUCGUCGUGAUGGGGAUGGAUUAUUGCAAUUAUUAAUCUUCAACGAGGAAUGCCUAGUAAGCGCAAGUCAUCAGCUUGCGUUGAUUACGUCCCUGCCCUUUGUACACACCGCCCGUCGCUCCUACCGAUUGAAUGGUCCGGUGAAGCGUUCGGACCGUGGCCUUUGGACGGUUCGCCGUCUGUUGGCUGCGGGAAGUUCGUUAAACCUUAUCAUUUAGAGGAAGGAGAANUCGUANCA
rnacentral:rRNA from 1 species